UACGUAGGAGGCGAGCGUUGUCCGGAGUUACUGGGCGUAAAGGGUGCGCAGGCGGCCGUGCACGUGGAUGGUGAAAUCUCCCGGCUCAACUGGGAGGGGGCUGUCCAUACGGUGCGGCUUGAGGCUCGGAGGGGGGCGUGGAAUUCCCGGUGGAGCGGUGAAAUGCGUAGAGAUCGGGAAGAACGCCAAGGGCGAAGGCACUCUGCUAGGCCUGAGUUCGCGACUGACACUCAGGGACGAGAGCCAGGGGAGCGAAUGGG
rnacentral:rRNA from 1 species